rnacentral:rRNA from 1 species
AGCGAACGCUGGCGGCAGGCCUAACACAUGCAAGUCGAGCGCCCAGCAAUGGGAGCGGCAGACGGGAUAGUAACACGUGGGAACGUACCUUUCAGUUCGGAACAACCCAGGGAAACUUGGGCUAAUACCGAAUACGUCCGUAAGGAGAAAGAUUUAUCGCUGAAAGAUCGGCCCGCGUCUGAUUAGCUAGUUGGUGAGGUAAUGGCUCACCAAGGCGACGAUCAGUAGCGGUCUGAGAGGAUGAUCAGCAUCACUGGGACUGAGACACGGCCCAGACUCCUACGGGAGGCAGCAGUGGGGAAGUAUUGGACAAUGGGCGCAAGCCUGAUCCAGCCAUGCCGCGUGGAUGAUGAAGGCCUUAGGGUUGUAAAGCUCUUUUGUGCGGGAAGAUAAUGACGGUACCGCAAGAAUAAGCCCCGGC